AUUAAAUUAACAUAUACAAUGUUUUAAAUUUAGAAUUUAAUUAAAUAACAAAACGUUAUAUUUAAUA
rnacentral:tRNA from 1 species